ensembl:lncRNA MIR100HG mir-100-let-7a-2-mir-125b-1 cluster host gene
GCUUCAAAUGGGAGGCCAAUCAAUGCAGCAUUAGGAAGGCUUCAUUCAGCUCAGCACCACCUUGGAUGGGGUCUUGCUCUGUUGCCCAGGCUGGAGUGCAGUGGCGUGAUCUCAGCUUACUGCAACCUCCGCCUCCCAAGUUCGAGUAAUUCUCCUGCCUCAGCCUCCUGAGUAGCUGGAAUUACAGGCACCCAUCACCACAUCUGGCUAAUUUUUGUAUUUUUAGUGGAGAUGCGGUUUUGCCAUGUUGGCCAGGCUGAUCUCAAACCCCUGACCUCAGGGGAUCCACUGCCUCGGCCCCCCAAAGUUCUGGAAUUACAGUGAAGAUCCCGGUGUUACACAUCCAAUCGUUCACCUCCUUCCAAGACUAUGACAUUCCAGGAAACCUUCACUGCUAAGAGGAACUAAGAUCUAGAGUAUCUCCUCGAGGAAGUACAACUGGAUUCUCCCUCCUUGGUUCUUCCCUGGACCAAGGACAGAAGAAUCAUUCAACACAGAGGCUAUUGACAAAAGGGGCAUAUUUGGUGCAAACAGGGGUAAUUAAUAAGAAGUCCAGUGGCUCACACCUGCGAUCCCAGCACUUUGGGAGGCUGAGAUGGGCAGAUUGCUCGAGCCCAGGAAUUCAAGACCAACCUGGGCAACAUGGCAAAACCCCAUCUCUACAAAAAUACAAAAAUUAACCAGAUGUGAUGGUUCAUGCCUGUAGUCCCAGCUACUCUGGAGGCUGAUGUGGGAGGAUCGCUUGAGCCUAGGAAGUCAAGGCUGCAGUGAGUCAUGAUUGCUCCGCUCCACUGCACUCUGGCCUUGAUGAUAGAGUGAGAACCAGUCUCAAAAAAAAAAAGGUCAUUUUCUAAGCAUUUGUUGAUUCAAUACUGCCCACUAUGUACACUGACAAUUAGACAUAAUUUAAUUUCAGCUCAUGGUAUGAAUGGAGACAAAAUGAAAUCAUUUUAAUGCACAUUAAGGCAAUAUAGUGCCCUUAAAUAAAAAGUUGAAGUUCAUAAGGGACCAUCAUUAAGAUUUAACUUUGUAACAAAUAUUUUGUUUUUGUUUGUUUUAUUUUUAGAUUUGCAUAAUAAAACAUUCAUAUUCUUACCCA